CCGGCCCUUAGAUAGUGAGUUUUGGACGUGUCUAAUAGAUGGCGUGAAGGAAUCUUGUGUUGUCAGAUGUGGGCUUAUGGCGGCUCGUUGUCUAAAUCUAUCUUCAGCUACAGCUAGUUUCUUCGAAAGUUAGAAGGAACGUAGCCUACCGUUGACUAUUUUGUUCAAAAUGUGCCAUCGAAAUGACACAGGAUUCAUUAUAAUUAUCUGCUGUAAAAACUGGACUUGCUAGAUCACCAACCCCAUCACAGACCAAUCUCUCAUUCCAUCUUUUAGAGAACCUUGGCUAACUGUUUGGUGGUUUCAAGUGUUUGAAACUAUAGGAAAUUUGCAUGACAGACUUUAAGAAAAGUCAUGUUGAAGAAAAAGGACUGACUGACGGUUAACAAAGUACGCUACCUUGUUUGGUAUCCUGUUGGCUGCUUCCAUUGAAUCUCCUGUUUUACUUCCUUAAGCUUGAUUUGAGGGUAACUCCAUUGCUUCUUAUCAUGGACUUCAUCCAUUGGUAAUGCUGUAAUUCAAGAGAAUGCUGUCAUUCAAGACUAAUAAAUUGUGUAAUUGUUAGAUAAAACAGCUAACCAUUGGCCGUGUAAUCACCCUGGCUGCAGUCAAUUAAGGCAGUCUCCCCCUGUCUUGAUUGACUGUAUGUGCGAGUUUCAAAAGCAGUUUAUCACCCAAAUGAGACAAAAAGGAGUUUGUUAGGUUUGUUUUAUUUGGGUAUAAAUAGCUUUAAAAUUUGCACAGAACAACAUUUGUCUUGUACCGGACGCUUUGCGAAU